CACGGAUUCCUUGCUGUCUGGUGCUGACACUAACUGGCGCAAACCUCCGCAGAAGCCCCUUCCCUGGACAGUAGAUCCACCUUCCCUAGUGUGGUCGAACCAGAGCCCGAGUCUACCACCAGCGUAUUCUCCAAAGACCCUGGUGCCAGGUAGGCUCUUUGGC
rnacentral:lncRNA from 1 species